GACGGAGGGUGCAAGCGUUGUUCGGAAUUACUGGGCGUAAAGGGCGCGUAGGCGGCCCGCUAAGUUCGGCGUGAAAGCCCCCGGCUCACCUGGGGAACGGCGCUGGAUACUGGCGGGCUCGAGUACCGGAGAGGAGAGUGGAAUUCCUGGUGUAGCGGUGAAAUGCGUAGAUAUCAGGAGGAACACCGGUGGCGAAGGCGGCUCUCUGGACGGAUACUGACGCUGAGGCGCGAAAGCGUGGGGAUCAAACAGG
rnacentral:rRNA from 1 species